UUUUAAAAUCAUUGAUUUUCCUCAUUGAGUCAACGUUGAUAUUGCUCGUUUUCAAAAAAUACAAAAAAAUUAAGAAAAAUCAAAUUUACAAAAAAAAAUAAAGUUGAGGGACCAAUUUUGAGGCCCAAACAACAUUUUACCUAUAAAUAUGAGUCCACAACUCACACAAAAGGAGAAGUAAUUUUGCACAUUUGAGAAAAACACAAAAAAACCCUAACCUAAACCUAUCUCUUAAAAAAACCAAAGCCGCAGCCUCCCCCUAGCUGGAAUUGUUUUUCUCUUCCACACCGUAGCCCUAUUUUCUUCUUCCUUAGCCGCUCCCUUUCCCCAGCCGCAACCUCUACUUUUGGAUUUUUUGCCUUCAUCCCCUACACCCGAAAACCCCCAACUCCCUUUUGUUUUCCCCUCAGCUGACCGAAACCUUCAGCCUUCCACCAUCUCUUUCCCCCACAGACAAACCAACCCAACUCCUCCACAAUACAGACCCAGCUCCUCCAUCCAACAGCCCCGCAACCAUCACCAAAUUCCCUCUCCUAAAACCACAACUUCCCAGCCUCCCUUCACACAGGCCUUCCUCUCAACGUCGUGCUUCUCAUCUCUCGACCGACCCAGCUUUCUCUCCUUCACCCGACCUCCAGCAGCGGCAGUUUCUGCCCACAGUCGACAGACCCAACUUUCUCUCCUUCACCCGACCUCCAGCAACGGCAGUUUCUGCCCACAGCUGACAGACCCAGCUUUCUCUCCUUCAACCGACCACAAGCAGCACCACAGAACCGCCUUAUCUCCCCCGACCAGAGAACGGGCAGAGCCAUUCCCCAUCUCUUCAGACCCACGGCUCCCUAUUCAACCAGCAGUUCUUUCCUUCCUCAGCCGCCGUGCACACCGGCCAGCGGCAGCCCUUUAUCCUUCAGCGGCGCCCACAGAAGCAGCCCCACUUCCAACCGAGAACUGACGGUCGGAUCUGCAACCAGCAGAGAGCAACGAACCUAGAGAAAGAGAGAAGCCAGAAGAGAUCAAAUAAAAAAAAGGGGGGAAGAACCGAGACUUUGCUUGCAGUUUUUUCUUCUUUGCAGGUGACGUUAUUCCUACUGCCAAUGCAGAAGGGAAGAGGAGACAGAGUCUAGCCGGAUCCACCAGUUGUUUGGGGUUGUCUGUGGCAGCGCGUGGAACAGAUGCGCCGCCACGGGUCCUGCAGUUCCAGAAGUGUUCCUCUACAAUUCCUGAAUUUUUUAGGGGCUAUUUUGUAAAUUUGAAAUUGUGUGAUGUAAUUUUUGUUUAGUUGUUUUGAAUUUGUAUUUUGAAAUGUGGAUCUAAAAAAAAACAAAAGAAAAGAAGAAGGAAAAAAAUAUAGUAAAAGUGUAUGUGUGUGUUUGUAUGCUUUUUAUGGAUGUUUUUUUAUGAUAAAAUUGCAAAGAUUAAAGAAGAAUUUAAUAUUUUGAUUUGCUCAUGGUCAAGAAUUAUGAACUUACACAUAAGUCGUAUUUCUAAUAUCCGAUGAAAAGAAAAAAAAUUUAAAACUUCUUUAACACAUCAAAGCCACGAAGCAGCUUACCUCAGGUAGGGUGCGUUAGGGGUUCUAAUACCUUCCCUAACCACAACCAGUCCCUUACUCGUGAAUCUUUGACAAGACCAGUACACUAGGGUUUCCUAGUAACCCUCAAUAAAUACUAGGUGGCAACUCCCAAAGAAAGAAAUCAAUCAAUCAAAAUCGAAAAAUCGCCAACCGAUGUCGUGCGAGUGACGUGCGACAUAAUGACAACUCCACUAGGGAAGGUACUGUUUCUGACAAUACUGGAUUAAGCUUUGUGUAUUUGAUGUGUUUAAGUUUUUUGCAUUUUUGUCUUGUUUUAUUUUUGUUUUAUCCAUGCAUUUUUAGAAUUGUUUCAUGCAUCACCUGUAUUUAUUUUUGAAAGCACACACAAGCUUCUAAGUUAGGUGGUGAAUUAACGAUCUGCCCUAUGACUAUUGGUCAGGGUUCAGAUACGUGAAAAACCUAACUCAUAUCUGAGUGUCUGCUUGGUAAUGAUGGGUAUACGUGCCUUAACCAUUUCUUGCAACGCCCCUAUAUUGUCUUUACGAAAAUCAUCACUGGGCAGAUAUGAGACCCUUUUGAGACCAGGUAGAAAACCUACACAUGUUCACAUAAUGAAUAGAACCUGUUCUUAGGUUGUAUGUGCUAUUUUUAUUUGCAUCAGGGCAAACCCUUCUUGAAGCAUCUUGAACUCAAGACUUAUGGGUGACACAAUGACCGUCACGCAGAAAAUUUUCAUUGUAGAGUUUGGGGCAAGAAUCAAGAUUCUUGCUUCAUCAUGCAAGAGUUACGAUCAUAUGUCACCCCUCGAAGGGCGAGUUCAUCAUAUAGACUACAUGUUCAUACAUUUAUCAUGCAUGCACCGAGAUGAAAAGUAGGUCCCCUACAAGUCUGCAACACCUGACUUGGAGUCUCUGAAGAAAAGCUUGACUCGCCUCUAGCUUACUCGAGCAAAUACAUAGAAAUAACUCAAGGGAAGUUCCUUUCAACCGACCUAUCAUCUUUGUUCAAACCCCAACAACGACUCAACCUGAAAAAAUUGGGGGCAAACAUGGUCAAGAGCCUCAACACAAUCCAGCAUUUCUGCAAAAGCUUUUAUAGGAAGGCUGACCAAAGGGGAAUUGCACCACCAUUGCAGAAUGGAGCCUGUUCUUGUUCUGCCAAAAAAUAACUACCUCUGUUCGAUCAUGCCUGCAAAACUUCUUGAUUUUUGUUUCAACCUGUUCCAGUUUUUAUUGGUAAUUUGGCUCAAAAUUCCACAAGACUUUCCCUGUCCAAUAAGCCUUUCUUGUUAAUAAGAUCAUGUGUUUUGCUGUGUUCAUGACAUGCCUUCAUUUUUGUUGUUGUUUCAUGCAAAUAACACAUUGAGCAUAACCUUUAAACAUGAAACCAUUGUGCCGAAAAUCUUAUGGUGUGUUUCUCUUUUCUUCCUAAAUUAUGCAUGAUCUCACAUAUUCACAAGGAUUUUUAGGAAUUCAAAGUUUAGUACAAAAACAGAAAUCAUGUUGGUGUUUGUCCAAAACAAACGAGUUCUGGAAAUUCAAAUGAUUCCUUAGAGAGGUAAUGUAAUAGUCCCGACAUAAUCAAUGUUAUAAGAUUCCAACAUAUCCUCUUUAUUUGAGGGUAAAUUUUUUUUUUUUUCAAAAUUUCGGCAGAGUUUCGUUUGCAUUUAGGACAUCCCAAGUUAUCGACUACUAUCAGUUUACUUAAACGACCCAUCAUCACAAGGUCCCUUAAUUCCGGACCUCAUAUCAAACCUCAUAAUUCCACACCUCAUACAAUCCACACAAUAUAUAUCCUACGAGUAAGUUCAAUAUGAACAUAGACCAACACAAUUAUAUCAUAAAAUUUAAAGGAAAAGGAAUACUAACAUGCAAAGAAAGUAUUUACAAUAUAAGAAGUGUUCUUAGAUAUUUCAAAAGGGUUAAUUACAAGAUAACUAAAAUACUACAUGUUAAGCUGAACCUUUAUAAAUACAUCAAGGCUUGCACAAAAGUAUACUACAUAAACAUGUUAAUUUCCUUUUGUUUUAAGUUAAAUAUUUACAUAAAUUUUGCAAGGUAGAGUCCUAAACUAAUGAUCUUCCUGGAUGUUUGAUGGACAUGUUACAUAAAUAAACAUACCAUUAUGUUGAUAAAGAAUAUAUGUAUGCUCAUGUAAUGAAUACGAAUGAAGUAUUAACUUUCUAUCGAAUCCAUAAGAAUUCUAACAAAGAACUUAUAUUUUGCUUGUAAAUCUUUUAAACCCAAUUAACACCCAUUUGUAUAUUCUUAAUUGAAUAAUCUUAUUUACUUGCAUAAACUGGGUGACCUUGCAAGCUAAUCGUGUAAAUCAUAUCCCGGCAAUCCCAUCACGGAUGCCAUUAGCCGAAGCUAAUCGUGUAAAUCAUAUCCCAGCAAUCCCAUCACGGAUGCCAUUAGCAAUCAUAUCCUGGCAAUCCCAUCACGGAUGCCAGUAGCCGAAGCUAAUCAUGUAAGUCAUAUCGCGGCAAUCCCAUCAUGGAUGCCAUUAGCCGAAGCUAAUCAUGUAAAUCAUAUCCCGACAAUCCCAUCAUUGAUGCCAUUAGCCGAAGCUAAUCAUGUAAAUCAUAUCCCGGCAAUCCCAUCACGGAUGCCAUAGCCGAAGCUAAUCUUGUAAAUACACUAGGCUUUAUUUACAUUGAACACGAUAUUUAUUAUAAUUGCAUUCACCAGAAGGAUUCUAAAUUGUAUAAGUGCAAAUAGGAGGGAAAAUCACGCACCUGUUUCGCCUAUCUCGCGACCUCCCCUAACAAAAGAUCCGAUCCUGGUUGCUCCUCCUGAAUCACAAGGAAGUUUUUUUUUUGUUAUGAUUCUUUCAAGCCGAUAUUAUAGAGAAUUCAUAUUCAUCCAUUACUCAUAUGUUACUUUCUAUGCAUGUUCAUUUCCUCAUAAUAACAUACAUACAUAUAUCAUGUAUAUUUUCAGAGUUAAUAUCUCAAUACACAAGUGUUAGUAUGACUCAAUUCUUUUAUAUUCUUAUUUAUAGUAUUAACAUGAAAGUCUACUGUUACUGUCCAAUUUCCAACUGUUACUGUUUGACUUUGAACUGUUACUGUUUGACUUUUCCAACCGUUACUGUCUGACUUUUCCAACCGUUACUGUCUGACUUUGAACUGUUACUGUCCAAUUUCUAACUGUUACUGUCUGAACACUCAUCAGAUUUUUAACUAUAUCUAAAGUUCUAAAACUCCAUUUUAACUGAGAUUGAUCUCGUUGGAAAGCUAAGACACGAGGCUACUAGUUCUCUGAGAGAGGAGAACCCAGUUUUGCUUACAAGAUAGUCAAAAUUGCUCAUUUACUAAUUAGUCCUACUGCCCUACAUAAUCAGUCACGACUCAGUCUCAGUUGGUAACCCAUAACUGGAGUUCUACAUUUCCAAAUUGAGCAAGACCAGUUUUCUUAGUUAGCUAACAUUCAAAUCUACAAUUUCUAUGAGGAACCUGAUCCUAAUCCCCUCAUCCUCCUACCCGACAUCUCAUCGAAAGUUAGGAGACAAGUCUGUCCAGACUCGUCUCCCCCUUCCCUUCACACAAUACUUUCAUAAACUACAUACCACACACAUGAAUUAACUUAAUCUCAAUAAUAAGUAUGUUUUUCCCCAAUUUAUGUCUAAGAACCCUAACCUAUAAUUCAAUAUCAAGGCAUCAAUUCUUUAUCGAAUUUAAAAAAUGAUUUUUUUUUAGAUCAAGUUUAGAAUACCUUACCCGGUACAAAUUAAGAUUUUGAUCUUCAACCAGUUGAAGAUUCUCAACUCCCUCUUUUCUUUUCUUCUUGUUCAAUUCCCCUCCUGUCUUUUCUUCUUGUUCAAUUUCUUGGUAAUCCUUUGCUCUCAAGUGUUUAUCCCAUCUUUAAGCUCUUAAUCUUGGAUGGGUUCUUAAAAUUCUAGUGUUUCUCUCUUGAUUUCUCGAGAAUGGGUAUAAAACUCCCUAUUUUCUCUCCUUAUGUUCCUACAGAUUUUUUUUUUGAUGAGGAGAGAGUAUUUAUACUCUAUAUUUUCCCUUAUUUACAUUUAGACCCCCUUUUUUUUCCUUUAAGUGCAUUAUUCUCUUCAAUUAAAUCUAACCCUCAACAGUACCAGGUUUAUUAUAAUGUCUCGAAUUAUUUUGCCCAGAAAUUUAUAUUCAAAAAUUUCUGAAUUUCUGUUUUUAUUUAAUCAUAUACGUGAAUUUCUUCACUUUUAUUUAUUUAUUAUUUUUUUUUCCCAGGGUUUACAUUCUCCCCUCCUAAUAGAAAUUUCGUCCUCGAAAUUUAAGUGAUGUACCUGAGUUUAUAAACAAGUCGAGGAAUUUUCGUCUCAUUUCUGAUUCUCUCUCCCAUGUUUCUUCCUCAAUUUGUGAGCUUCGCCAUAAGACUCUGAUGAUGGGAACUUUCUUAUUACGAAGUUCUUUCUCGCCCCAUUUGAGUAUCUUUAUCGGUCUCACCUCAAGUUUUAAGUCUUCUUUUACCUCCACUGGCACUUGAGGUAACACUCUCGAAGGGUCUACAUCGGCUUUUCACAGCAAAGAAACAUGGAAUACAUUGUGAACCUUGGCCAACUGUGAGGGCAAGUUUAUUUCAUAAGCUACAGGUCCGAUACAUUUUCGGAUUUCGAAUGGUCCAAUGAACCUCGGAGCUAACUUCCCCUUCAUGCCGAAUCUCAGCAUGUGCUUCCAUGGAGCUACCUUCAGAAAUACUUUAUCUCUAGGACAAAAUUCAAGUGGUCUUCUUCGAAUAUCUGCAUACUUCUUCUGUCUAUCCUGAGCCACUUUCAUUCGAUCCUUAAUGAUCCUCACUUUUUUAGUAGUGAUUUGUAUUAAUUCCGCUCCAUACAACUUUCUGUACCCAACUUCUUCCCAACACAAGGGUGUCCUACACUUUCUGCCAUAAAGAGCUUCAAAAGGGGCCAUUCCAAUUGUUGUCUGAUAACUGUUGUUAUACGUGAAUUCUACUAGUGACAAGUGCUCCUCCCAGUUUCCACCAAAUUCCAAAGCACAUGCUCUAAGUAAAUCUUCUAAGAUCUGAAUAACUCUCUCAGAUUGGCCAUCAGUCUGCGGAUGAAAGGCAGUACUGAUACUCAAAUUUGUCCCCAAGGCACGUUGUAUGCUCGGCCAGAGACGUGAAGUAAAUCUUAGGUCUCGGUCUGAAACAAUUGAUAUUGGGACUCCAUGAAGCCUUACAACUUCGUUCACAUAAAUCUUAGCCAACUUGUCGACUGGAUCUGUCAUCUUUACUGGUAGGAAAAGGGCAGACUUAGUUAGUCGAUCCACCAUGACCUAGAUUGCAUCAUUUCCCCUCUUUCCUCUGGGUAGUCUCGACACAAAGUCCAUUGUGAUCAUCUCCCACUUCCACUCAGGGAUUGGUAAUGGUUGUAACAGCCCUGCCGGUUUUCGGUGUUCUACUUUUACUUGUUGGCAAAUACUACACUUUGCCACAUAACCAACCACUUUUUUUCUCAUAUUUGGCCACCAGUAGUACUGCUUCAUAUCCUGGUACAUCUUAGUACUACCUGGAUGUACAAUGAACUUAGACUCGUGAGCUUCUCGUAGUAACUUUUGUUUAAGGGCUUGGUUGUCAGGCACAUACAUACGUCGCCCCAACAUCACUAUUCCAUCAUCACCCAUUCGAAAAAGAGUUUCACCCCCCGAUUCCAGUUUGAUUCUCACUUUUGACACCUCAUCAUCAUGCUGUUGUGCCUCUAAUAUUUGCUCUCGAUAUCCUGACUUCACCCUUAGUUGAGCCAUCAAGGAUCCUUCCGGACUCACACCUAAUAUUGCCCCUAAUCUCUUUAGCUCAAUCAUGGUUCCCUCAUUCCAAGUCGUUGGUCCACUCCUAAUCACUUUGUCUUUACGACUGAGAGCAUCCGCGACGACAUUCGCUUUUCCUGGAUGAUAAUCUAUAAUACAGUCGUAGUCUUUAAUUAAUUCUACCCAUCUUUGUUAUCGCAUAUUCAACUCCUUCUGCGACAUCAGAUAUUUAAGGCUCUUAUGAUCCGUGAAAAUUUGGACCUGGGAUCCGUAUAGGUAGUGCCUCCAUACUCGUAAAGCAAAAACUACUGCUGCCAAUUCUAAGUCAUGAACUAGAUAGUUGACUUCAUGAGUCUUCAGUUGUCUCGAUGCAUAGGCAACUACUUUUCCAUGUUGCAUUAGAACACAACCCAGUCCUUUUCUUGAGGCAUCACUGUAGACUACAAAGCCUUCUGUUUCGGAUGGAAGGAUUAGUAUGGGGGCAGUAGUAAGCCUUCUCUUCAAUUCUUGAAAGCUCUCAUCGCACUCUUUUGACCACUCCCAUCUUAUGUUUUUCCUGGUGAUUCGUGUUAAUGGAGUUGCUAUCGUUGAAAACCCUUCGAUAAAUCUUCUAUAAUACCCUGCCAAUCCGAGAAAACUACGUAUUUCAGUUACCGUAGUAGGCCUUUCCCAUCUCAAAACUGCUUCCACCUUCUGAGGGUCCACAAAAAUGCCUUUUGAAGACACUACAUGCCCCAAAAAGGUAACUUCUUUUAACCAGAAGUCACAUUUAUCCAACUUGGCAUACAACUGGCGGCUCCUCAGAGUCUGUAGUGUCUGUCUCAGGUGUUGUUCAUGCUCCUCAUAGGAUUUGGAAUAAACCAAGAUGUCAUCGAUGAAUACGACAACAAACUUAUCAAGGUAUGGUUGGAAUACUCGGUUCAUUAAAUCCAUAAAAAGUGUUGGAGCAUUAGUUAAUCCAAAGGGUAGAACUAAGAACUCAAAGUGUCCGUAGCGAGUUCUGAAGGCAGUUUUCAGCACAUCUUGCCCCUUGAUUCGCAUUUGGUAGUAUCCUGAUCUUAAAUCAAUCUUUGAGAAUACUUUGGCACCCUUCAACUGAUGGAACAAAUCAUCUAUUCGCGGAAGUGGAUAUCUGUUCUUUACCGUUACUUUAUUCAGCUGACGGUAAUCUAUGCAAAGCCUCAACGUUCCAUCCUUCUUCUUCACAAAUAAUACAGGUGCCCCCCAAGGUGAGUUGCUUGGUCGUAUGAAUCCUUUGUCUAAAAGCUCCUGCAAUUGAAUUUUUUACUCAUCCAAUUCUUUUGGGGCCAUUCUAUACGGUGGUUGGGCUAUAGGAGACACCCUAGGCAAUAUAUCUAUAAUGACUUCAACUUCUCUUUCUGGGGGUAGUCCUGGCAAUUCUUCCGGAAAUACAUCCGGAAAUUCCCUCACAAUUGGAAUGUCGGACAGUCCUAUUUUACCCUUUUCUAAAUUUAUCACAUAGGCAAGGUAUGCUGUACAACCUUUCUUUAGUAGUUUUCUCGCAACCAUACCCGAGAUCAUAUUUGGAAAGUUGGAAGUUCUCUCCCCCUAUUGUUUCACCCUUAGCCCCUUGGAAGGUUACUGUUUUUGUAAAGCAGUCUAAACGAGCCUUAUUUUUGCCCAACCAAUUCAUACCUAGAAUUAUAUUAAAAUCACUUAAUUCUAGGGGUAUUAAAUCUGCUUUUAGUUCACACCCAUUAAUGUUAAUUCCCACCCCUUCAAAUACAACAUUUGUUUCCACAGUUUCACCCAAAGGUGUCCCAAUAACAAAUCCUUUUUCUACCCUUUUUGUUUCCUUACUCAAUUUGGUUACAUUUUUAUUUGCUAUAAAGGAGUGAGUGGCACCAGAAUCAAACAAAACAUGCAUUUGAUAGUCAUUCAUCUGCAGCAUACCUGCCACUACAUCUGAUGUUGCUCUGACAUCCUCCUGGGUCAUAUGGAAAACCCUUCCUUGAUCCCUUUCAUUUUGCACUCUGGGUCAUCCCCUAUUUGAGUUAGCUCCUGACUGAGUUGACCUUCCCGGUCUAUUUACUGUGAUAGACUGCUGAUGACUCUGACUUUGCUGCCUAUGUCUCUGAGGCUGUUCAGUGUUUAACUGGGGGCAUUCCCUUUUAAAGUGACCCUUCUCACCACAGUGAUGACAUCCUCUUCCCAAGUACUGACAGGUUUUCCACUUAUGACCUUCUCCUCGACAUAUAUAGCAUUGUCCAGGAGAAACCAUACAACUACCAGGGUGUCUUUGUUCACACUGAGCACAUCGAGGGUAGCCAAUUUCCUUCUGAUCAUUAUGCCCCCUUGCAGCUAUAACCCUAGAGCGGGUCUGACCACUUCCCGACCUCCCACUGAUAUCCUGUCGGAAGCUAGUUGAUGUCCCCCCUUUCUUUUUGAAUUGAAGGAACUGUUCGCCUCUACCUUUCUUUGGAAGUGGUGGCCUGCCUAAAAAUUCCAUAUCCUUUCGUUUUCUUGCACCCCCAUGACUCUGUUGGCCUUCUUCCAUACAAGCCUCCAAGGCCUGUGCUGCUUCAAUCAGUUCCCUUACUGUCUUGAAUUGCAAAGCAAUCAACCCCUGCUUCAAUUCUUGUCUGAAGCCAUCCCUUAACUUUUCUAUCAUGUGUUGUUCUGAUGGGACAUAAUGUGGUGCGAAUAGUGAGAGAUCAUGAAAUCGUCUCUCAUACUCGAGUACGGACAUUCCCUCCUGUCUCAAAGCUAGGAAUUCUUGUUCCUUCAUCUUUCGAUGAUAUUUGGAGUAAUAUUGAUUCUCAAACUCUAUCUUGAAGUCAUCCCAGGAUAGGGUUUUUGUAGCCCUCCUCAACUGAACUGUCUCCCACCAAGUCAUAGCACCGUCUGAUAGUAAUUGAGUAGCACAAUCUACCCGCAGAUCAUGUGGUAUCUUAAUUUGAAUCAUGGUUUUCUCCACCUUUCUAAUCCACUUUCCCGCCACUUCAGCAUUCUGUUCACCUGAGUAGGGUUCACAACCCAUUUCUCUCAUACUUUUCACCAAACGAACUAGUUGUACCACGUUAUUAAUAGUUGUAGCUGCUUCUGAAACGGUUGGUAUGAUGGGUGCAGGUGGGGGUGCUGGCAUAGGAGUGGCAGCAUUAGCCAUACCUUCCAUUACUACUUUGACUAGCUGGGCCAAGAGCAUCGGAUCAACAUAAGAAACAGAUGGCCCUGCAGGUGUAGUCUGAGGGGGCUCCUCUACUCGUUCCCGCGGGGCUGACGUGGUCGGCCGAACAUCCCCAGUUUGCCUUGGUGCCUGUCUAAUUUGAGGCCCCGACGAUUCUUCAUGCCCUGCUUGAGUCGAUACUACCGGUGCAUGUGAAGCAGUAUCUUCCAAAGGGCUCUCUUCUUGCUCCUCGGAAAAGUCUAUAUUUCUAUUCCCCCUCCCUGCAGAGGAUAGAUCUGUUCUAAUCUCUUGACGGGUACGUACCAUCCUGCAAUAAAUUAAUGAACAUCAACAAUCCUUUUUGAUUUCUUCCCAGAACCUAUACCAGGGCUCUGAUACCAACUGUAAUAGUCCCGACAUAAUCAAUGUUAAGAGAUUCCAACGUAUCCUCUUUAUUUGAGGGUAAAUUUUUUUUUUUUUUCAAAAUUUCGGCAGAGUUUCGUUUGCAUUUAGGACAUCCCAAGUUAUCGACUACUAUCAGUUUACUCAAACGACCCAUCAUCACAAGGUCCCUUAAUUCCGGACCUCAUAUCAAACCUCAUAAUUCCACACCUCAUACAAUCCACACAAUAUAUAUAUAUAUAUAUAUAUAUAUAUAUAUAUAUCCUAUGAGUAAGUUCAAUAUGAACAUAGACCAACACAAUUAUAUCAUAAAAUUUAAAGGAAAAGGAAUACUAACAUGCAAAGAAAGUAUUUACAAUAUAAGAAGUGUUCUUAGAUAUUUCAAAAGGGUUAAUUACAAGAUAACUAAAAUACUACAUGUUAAACUAAACCUUUAUAAAUACAUCAAGGCUUGCACAAAAGUAUACUACAUAAACACGUUAAUUCCCUUUUGUUUUAAGUUAAAUAUUUACAUAAAUUUUGCAAGGUAGAGUCCUAAACUAAUGAUCUUCCUGGAUGUUUGAUGGACCUGUUACAUAAAUAAACAUACCAUUAUGUUGAUAAAGAAUAUAUGUAUGCUCAUGUAAUGAAUACGAAUGAAGUAUUAACUUUCUAUCGAAUCCAUGAGAAUUCUAACAAAGAACUUAUAUUUUGCUUGUAAAUCUUUUAAACCCAAUUAACACCCAUUUGUAUAUUCUCAAUUGAAUAAUCUUAUUUACUUGCAUAAACUGGGUGACCUUGCAAGCUAAUCGUGUAAAUCAUAUCCCAGCAAUCCCAUCACGGAUGCCAUUAGCCGAAGCUAAUCAUGUAAGUCAUAUCGCGGCAAUCCCAUCACGGAUGCCAUUAGCCGAAGCUAAUCAUGUAAAUCAUAUCGUGGCAAUCCCAUCACGGAUGCCAUUAGCCGAAGCUAAUCAUGUAAGUCAUAUCCCGACAAUCCCAUCACGGAUGCCAUUAGCCGAAGCUAAUCAUGUAAGUCAUAUCCCGGCAAUCCCAUCACGGAUGCCAUUAGCCGAAGCUAAUCUUGUAAAUACACUAGACUUUAUUUACAUUGAACACAAUAUUUAUUAUAAUUGUCAGAUUGUUGUUACACCACCAUCUCUUAGGUAGUGCGUUUUCUAACCCUGCCUCUUUUCGAGUGCGCCUUUGAGCCCUCACCUCCUUUCAAGUGCGCCUUUGAGCCACCACUUCUCAAGAAGUGCGUUUUCUAACCCUGCCUCAUUUCGAGUGCGCCUUCGAGCCCUCAAUUCUCAGGUAGUGCGUUUUCUAACCCUACCUCCUUUCAAGUGCGCCUUUGAGCCACCAUUUCUCAAGUAGUGCGUUUUCUAACCCUACCUCCUUCCAAGUGCGCCUUUGAGCCACCAUCUCUUGGUAGUGCGUUUUCUAACCAUACCUCCUUUCAAGUGCGCUUUUGAGCCCUCACCAAUAUUUUUCAUGGUAGGUCACCCAUUACAACAUGACCAAUUCUCCAUAUUUUUUUUAUCUGAGUAGGUCACCCAUUACAAUGAGGCCAUUCUUCCACUUGGGUAGGUUGUACAAUGAGACCAACAUUUUUUUGGGAAGGUCACCCAUUACAACGCGACCAAUUCUCCAUGUUUUUUUAAUCUGGGUAGGUCACCCAUUAUAAUGAGGCCAUUCUUCCACUUGGGUAGGUCACCCAUUACAAUGAGACCACUCUUUCCUUUUUUCUUGGGUAGGUCACCCAUUACAAUGAAACCACUCUUUCCUUUUUCCUUGGGUAGGUCACCCAUUACAAUGAGACCAACAUUUUUCUAGGUAGGUCACCCAUUACAACGCCACCAAUUCUCCAUAUUGUUUUAUCUGGGUAAGUCACCCAUUACAAUGAGGCCAUUCUUCCACUUGGGUAGGUCACCCAUUACAAUGAGAGCACUCUUUCCUUUUUCCUUGGGUAGGUCACCCAUUACAACGCGACCACUUCUCCAUGUUGUUUUAUCUAGGUAGGUCACCCAUUACAAUGAGGUCAUUCUUCCACUUGGGUAAGUCACCCAUUACAAUGAGACCACUCUUUCCUUUUUCUUGGGUAGGUCACCCAUUACAAUGAGACCACACUUCACAUUCUUUUGUUUUGGUUAAAGGAGGUCGCCAAAUGGGAUCUUAGGUAGCUUUGGUUAAAGGGAAUCGCCAUAUGGGAUUUCAGGUUAACCGAGCUAUAUAUAUUUUUUUGUUCUUGUUAAAGGAGGUCGCCAGAUGGGAUCUCAGGUAGCAUCGGUUAAAGGGAAUCGAAUUGAGCUACACAUAUUUUUUUUAUUCUAGUUGAAUGAAGUUGCCAGAUGGGAUCUCAGGUAGCAUCGGUUAAAGGGAAUCGCCAGAUGGGAUUUCAAGUUGACCGAGCUACACAUAUUUUUUUUGUUCUAGUUGAAUGAGGUUGCUAGAUGGGAUCUCAGGUAGCUUUGGUUAAAGGGAAUCGCCAGAUGGGAUUCCAGGUUGACUGAGCUACACACAUUCUUUGGUUUUGGUUAAAGGAGGUCGCCAGAUGGGAUCUCAGGGUUAACAGAAAAAGAAGAGAGAGAAAAAAAAGAGAGAGAAAGGAGAGAGAAAAGAGAAGGAAAAGAGAAAGAAAUAGAAAAAAAAAAGAAGGUCUUUAGAUGAGUGGAUAUUCAAUAAGUUAGGAAGAUAAGAAGACAAGUUUUCUUUACAAAGCUUACUAUGCAAAACAUUGAGGAGUUUUGCUUCGUAAGCAUUGUAAAGAGAGGGCAUCUGUUGUUACCCAAUUUUUGACCCACCUUUUUGAUAAAAAAAUUUUAAAAAUCCAAAAUAGCGAAAAACAACAAAAAUCCAAAAAAAUAUGUUUUUAAUAUAUUUGCAUCGUUUUUAGCAUUUUCAACGUCGUCUAAAAAACAAUUUAAAUUUUCAAAGGUUUUUGGAACGCGUUCGACUUUUCACGCGUCAUUUUUAAAAUCAUUGAUUUUCCUCAUUGAGUCGACGUUGAUAUUGCUCGUUUUCAAAAAAUACAAAAAAAUUAAGAAAAAUCAAAUUUACAAAAAAAAAAAGAAAGUUGAGGGACCAAUUUUGAGGCCGAAGCAACAUUUUACCUAUAAAUAUGAGUCCACAACUCACACAAAAGGGGGGGCAAUUUUGCACAUUUGAGAAAAACACAAGAAAACCCUAAACCUAAACCUAUCUCUUAAAAAAACCAAAGUCGCAGCCUCCCCCCGGCUGGAAUUUUUUUUUCUCCUCCACACUGUAGCGCCAUUUUCUUCUUCCCUGGCCGCUCCCUUUCCCCAGCCGCAGCCUCUCCUUUUGGAUUUUUUGCCUUCAUCCCCUGCACCCGAAAACCCCCGACUCCCUUUUGUUUUCCCUCAGCUGACCGAAACCUUCAGCCUUCCACCAUCUCUUUCCCCCACAGACCAACCAACCCCAGCUCCUCCACAAUACAGACCCAGCUCCUCCAUCCAACAGCCCCG
rnacentral:lncRNA from 1 species